rnacentral:sRNA from 1 species
UACAAGAUCGAUCUAAGCAGGCUCUUUUGUCAUAUUUCCAUCGUAUCUAGUAAAUUCCAAGAAAUAAAAAUUAAAUGCUGACCAAUCUGUACAAAAAGGACCCUUAAAUACACACCCAUCGAAAAAAACAACACACAUGACGAACACCACAAAGUCGGCGCAGACAGCAAAAGAAAUAAACACGACAAAUCGCAAAAAAAGGACUUUGUGCAAUUUAUUUUGCCAAGUAAAAUUACUUGUCGCCUGGAGGGAUGGAUAUGUUGUGGCAUGGGUAUCCACUGCACUUACGGGGCAGGGUAUCCUUGCGAGUAGAGCUAUGUGGGGAAACAUGUGGAUGGGUGGACGCUCCAAUUUGGACAAACAACAACAAAGGCGGUGGCACACUCAAAGUGAACGCCAUGUCACGGAAAAUAUUAAAAUUAGCUUUAACAUGUCUUCGUUUGUGUGCAGUGCAGUGGCUCACAUUUUGCCUUUGGUGCGAAAUGUUGCAAUCAAAAAUUGGCUGACGAUCCUGCCCCUCCGCCCACUCAAAAAAGAUGAAAGGCGAAACGAAGGACUAGAUUGGAGCGGGCUAGCUAGCACAAGUAAAAGCCGGAAAACUUUUGAUGCUGUUUGCUACUUUUCACAUCAUUUCCCUGUCAGCAACGUCCUGACCGCACUGUGCUCCUUUUCAUUUAAACUUUUUUGUCUUCGCCAGCGCCGCUUUUGAUUUCAGGACGGGUCGAGGACAUGGACACUUUUCCAUUUCUCUCGGUUUGUCAGUCAAUUUUUGCAGAUUCCAGCUGAUAAAAACUCUGUGAUUGGCUCUCGGCUUUGGCAAGCAAAUUAUCAUAGUCCUGCACAGAGAAAAACAAGGCUGCCUUACAGCUUAAACAAUGCAAUGGUUGAUGAUUAAAUGUAUGAGGUGCAAAGUAUCAAUUCAUGAAAUAUAUGAUAGACUUAAGACAUUA